AUGCUGCAGUCAACUUUACUCCACCGGAGGAGAAGACACGGCCGCUUGUGCAUCAUCCCUGCAAGACCUGGAGUUUUUGCUGCUGAAGCAGUAGAGCAGAGGGCGCUGUGCAGAGGAACAAGAACAUGCCUUGACUUGUACCAGCUUGUCAAAAGGGAGUUAAGGCUUGUGGUCAGCACCAGUAACUGUAUUUGCGUUCUCAUCCAACUGACCGGCGAAAGACGAGAGCAGCAUACUAUCCACUGUAGAAUAUAUGGAUAUUGGGACAAACUGAACUGAUAGGUAAGUGUGUCACUUCUCAGGUGUGGCUGGUGUAAGAAUAGAAGUGCUUUAAGUCAAAACGUCGUUUCUAUAAUUACAGUGCACUUACAAAGUACAUCAUUUCACAAUGCAUAAAAUUAUUUUCUAAAUUCUUAAGUAUUUCGAUUUCUUUUUUUAUUAAAAACACCUUAAAUAGGAGAAACAAAACUGCAUGAGAUAAAAAGUCUUGUGUUUAAAGAAUAUGUUAGAAUAUAUCUUGAAUUAUGUAGAUUUUUCGUUACGCCAUAAGCAGUUUCAUUGUUUUAAGCAUGAAUCUAACAAAAUGUAAAGUUUAUGCUUAUAUUGAGGGGAAUUUUUAAAAAAUAUAUAUUUUUAAAAGUAUGUUUAGAUAUUUUAAUGGAAAGCAGAAUAUAUACAGGUAUGUGUGUAUGUAUAAAAUAUUAAAUCAAUAUUUAAAAUAAAAAUACAAAGAUUCAGAAAUAUUUUAGCAGUGUAACUUGCUACAAAAUCAGUAUAUUUGUACAAAAUGCAGUGAAGUUUAUGCUUAAAAUUAGAAAAACAAUUUGCCAGUGGGGUCAACUAAAUGUAUCUUGAUUACUUGUUUAGAAGUAUUUUAACAUAUUUCUACUUGAAACCAAGACAAAUAUGGAUAUAAAUAUGAGAGAGAGAGAAAAAUAUUAAUAUGAAUAUUUAAAUUAAAAUACAAAGAUUAAGGAAUUAUUUUGCAGUGUAAUUGGCAACAAAAUAGAUUCAUUUCGAUUCAUGAGCUGCAGUUAAGCUGCUAUAAAAGUAAUCUUCUCCAUCAAACUUUGUCAACGUCUAACGUCAAACUUUGCCAUUAAUUGUUUUCUUUAAGAGUCACAUUCUUUCCGCCUCUGUGUCUAAAUGUAAGCUGAUUUUCACAGACAUUAUUGAUAAAUUGUUCAGUGACCCUGCACUCAUCACCACUGGUGCUCCAACCUCCAUCCGUGAACAAAUACUGCUGACCUUAAAAAUAGAGAAAAUCGAACUAAAGCAAUGGAAGAAGCACUUUGUGACUCAGUCUUAUUUGUUAUCCAAACACAUAUAUGAACUGAAUGUAUAAAGAUGGUUGGUUUUGUCUUUGAUUGAACAGUCUGGGCACUGGAUAUCCCUUCUCUGGAAGAUCCCUGACUUCACCACGGCUAAUUGGUCUACUGAUGACAUGACCCCUGAGACAAAAGGUGAGAGGGUUUGUCUAUCUGGUUUUAAUGGACUGUCUGACGUCCGUACAUUUAUUUGGUAGGCUACCAGAGUGAUUACUUCCAUGAACCAGUGGUUAACUCACAAGCACCUCUGCUGUUGCCAGAAGCAUCAGUGUGCUGAUUAGUAAUGUAUUUCACUGGCUGAAAGGUGGGCUGUGUGAAUUAUUAAUGCUUUCUAGCUCUACAAAUAGAGCUUGCAUUGAUCAACAGUCCCUUGAGUAAAGUGAUAUUGUUUAGGAGUGCAAUGUUUGCACUUUGUCUCCGCAUAUAGCCUUGCAAAGACUUGAGGUUCUAGCUUUUUCUUUUUUAUUUUUUGUUUAUCAAACUGUUUUUCACCUGUCAGUCCCCUAUGACUUUUUCCAGUUUUCCCGAUCUCUUCUUUUAUUUUAAGAUUUGUAUUUUCAGUACUGUUGAUAGUGAAAUGUGGUGGUCUUCACAUGUCUAUAAAAAUGUUGGCCUAUUUUUAGUCAUUCUUCUUCUGAAAAAAUAGCUACCAGUAUCAGAACUAAACAAGGCUCAGGGCAAAAAUGCAACUGAAUAUAACAAAACACCUCUAAAAUAGAAAAUAUUUCCUAAUCUUAUGCUUUAGUCCUGUUUAAUGACAAUAUGGCAUAAUAUAAGGUUUUGACAUGGAUUUAAAUUUAUAGCUAAUAGCUUAAUUCAUUUGCAUUGUAAACUUAUGAAUAAAUUUAAUGAAUAAAUUCCAUUUCAGUAUUCGACAUAAAAGAGUGACAUUGUUUGUAUUUUAUAUAGUUUGAAAGAAUGUUCUCUAUUAAAGGUAAAUUACAAAAACGUAUUUCCCUGUAGUGGAAAAAUUCAACUUUAUUAAGUUUCCAGCGACUUAACCUACCCUUGUUUUUUGUUGAAAUAUUCAAUUUUUAUAACACUUUAGUACCAACUACUUACCUAAAAUCACAGAGGGGAACUUGCUGGCACAGAAAUAGUUUAAUUAGCCGAAUAAAGAAAGUUUUGAAAUUUUCCUCAGUGACAUUCAGCAGUACUUUCCCUUUAAGAUGAUUAAGUCAGAGGAAUGAAAUGACUGCUGUUCUAUAGACAGUGUGACACAACCGUGGGAGAAAGAGGGCGAGAAACCAACAGUGCAGACGGUGGUCAAAUCAUAGUGCUUCUUUUACAGAAACGUAUCCAGAUGUCCUGGAGAAGAUGAGAGACCCUGUGUCAGCAGUAAGGUGAGUGUCUGAUCCUAGUUAUUCAAUAUGUUUAACUGUCCUUGUUGAUAUACAUUAAUCUUUCUGAGAUUAGUUUCAGUACUAACUUUAGCUGCAUUCUGAUUCUGACAUUCGGACAUUAUGAGAUUUAUCUAUUACAUAUGUUGCCAAAAAUAGGGAAAGACUAGGUUUUUUUUGGGGGGGGGGGCACAUUUAAAGGGAUAGUUCACCCAAAAAUAAAAUUUCAAAAAAGUGUAUGACUUUCCUUGGAACACAACAGAAGAUAUUUUGAGAAAUGUCUCAGUGUUUUUAGUCUAUACACUGGACAUCAAUGGUCACCAAAACAGUUUGGUUACCAACAUUCUUUUUGUGAACGUUUUUAAUUAAAACAAUGGCAUAAUUCUCAUUUUUGGGUGAACUAUCCCUUUAAGAGAUGCUAUAUACAUUAGAUGCCUAGAUAUCUGCUGCUCUACUGCGGGUUUCACUCCAUUUAAUUUUAUUUUUUUUACAUUUUUUAGACAUUCAGAUCUUUCUGGUUCACUUAAACAGGUUACAGUUGUGCCCUCUCUGUAUAAAUUCAGGCAAACUUUGUGACCCGUAAACACAUGAAUUCUAUCUGUUAGUUAAUGCAUAACCUGUGUAUUUUGGUUCAAAGGUGUUCAGUGUGUCAGAGGUGUACAGGCAC
rnacentral:lncRNA from 1 species